AGAUUAGAGGGAUUUAUUUGAAAGCGGCCCACGACCUUUAGUUCUUUACAGAUGAAGUGGUUUUGUCUGGCUUCUGCUCCAGCUCCGAGCCCGGACUUUGAGCGUUUUGAUUUAGGGCCAUAUUUAUGAAGCAGCCUUUGGCCCCGCUCACACUGUUGCUCUCACCGUGUCUCUUCAGCAUCCUGACAGGGUCAGCUCCCGCUUGCAGGUUUCAACCUGUGGGUUGUUGCCUAGGCCACGGGACUUCUCGCUGCAUCUCAGUGGCCAUUGCACAUCGGCUCCUGGAGCUCGCGUCCCCUGACGUGAGGUUCUUUUCAGCGGUUGCUAGGAUACAUCGUCAGAAUCUGCUCACCCUUGAGAAUCACAGCCAACUUGAGUUCUUCCUGACUUCUCAGUAUUGAAAAAGCAGGGGCAAUGUGAGCAUCCUGUCCAGCUUGCUGAGCGUCACUGGGACUGUGGCUAGGGACUGGGGGAGGAGGUGGGAGCUGUGUAGCUUAAAUGUCUUCCUGCCUCUUCUGAUCUGGAUAAAAAUGGCUCCAACUGCCUCGCUCCCCUUCAUUGGACUGGAAAGAGCAAUAAAGCAUGUAUUCUGUCAGAUU
rnacentral:lncRNA from 1 species